rnacentral:misc_RNA from 1 species
AAGUCGUAACAAGGUUUCCGUAGGUGAACCUGCGGAAGGAUCAUUGAUGGAAUUAAGGUUUUUUUAAUGGGUCAGUCCUGAUUUUUUGGGAUCUGGCCUACAAACAAAACAUAGAAACCCAAGAAGAGCGAGUGGGGAUUUUGCUGGACCAUUUUUUUUGUUUAUUGGGAUUUUCUCAAUCAGAGAUCAGCUCAAAUAAAAAAAAAGAAGGGGAAAGCAGAGAACCACAGCAAAAAAAAAAUUUAGUGGAUGCCUGAUAAGAGUUUGGAAUGGAAGAAUAAAAAAAACAACUUUCAACAACGGAUCUCUUGGCUCUCA